GUGUGUGGGAGGCAGUGUGCAUGAGGGCUGCAAUGUCUGUGCGAGCGGUACAGUGUCUGUGUGUGGGAGGCAGUGUGCAUGAGGGCUGCAAUGUCUGUGCGAGUGGUACAGUGUCUGUAUGUGGGGUGCAGUGUGCAUGAGGGCUGCAAUGUCUGUGUGGUACAGUGUCUGUAUGUGGGGUGCAGUGUGCAUGAGGGCUGCAAUGUCACCAAUGUGGUACAGUGUCUGUAUGUGGGGUGCAGGCAUGAGGGGCUGCAAUGUCUGUCUGCAGUGGUACAGUGUGCAUGAGGGGCUACAAUGUCACAAUGCUUGGCCAGCGGUACAGUGUCUGUGUGUGGGGGUGCAGUGUGCAUGAGGGGCUGCAAUGUCUGUCACAGGAAGGUACAGUGUCUGUGUGUGGGAGGCAGUGUGCAUGAGGGCUGCAAUGUCUGUGCAGUGGUACAGUGUCUGUAUGUAAGGUGCAGUGUGCAUGAGGGGCUGCAAUGUGUGUCACUAAGCGGUACAGUGUCUGUAUGUGGGGUGCAGUGUGCAUGAGGGGCUGCAAUGUCUGUGUGGGAAUUUUGAUAUCUGUAUGUGGGGUGCAGUGUGCAUGAGGGCUGCAAUGUCUGUGCGAGUGGUACAGUGUGCAUGAGGGCUGCAAUGUCUGUGCGAGCGGUACAGUGUGCAUGAGGGCUGCAAUGUCUGUGCGAGAGGUACAGUGUCUGUGUGUGGGGUGCAGUGUGCAUGAGGGCUGCAAUGUCUGUGCGAGAGGUACAGUGUCUGUGUGUGGGAGGCAGUGUGCAUGAGGGCUGCAAUGUCUGUGCGAGUGGUACAGUGUCUGUGUGUGGGGUGCAGUGUGCAUGAGGG